GAUGAACGCUGGCGGCGUGCCUAAUACAUGCAAGUCGAGCGAACGGACGAGAAGCUUGCUUCUCUGAUGUUAGCGGCGGACGGGUGAGUAACACGUGGAUAACCUACCUAUAAGACUGGGAUAACUUCGGGAAACCGGAGCUAAUACCGGAUAAUAUUUUGAACCGCAUGGUUCAAAAGUGAAAGACGGUCUUGCUGUCACUUAUAGAUGGAUCCGCGCUGCAUUAGCUAGUUGGUAAGGUAACGGCUUACCAAGGCAACGAUGCAUAGCCGACCUGAGAGAGUGAUCGGCCACACUGGAACUGAGACACGGUCCAGACUCCUACGGGAGGCAGCAGUAGGGAAUCUUCCGCAAUGGGCGAAAGCCUGACGGAGCAACGCCGCGUGAGUGAUGAAGGUCUUCGGAUCGUAAAACUCUGUUAUUAGGGAAGAACGUAUGUGUAAGUAACUGUGCACAGCUUGACGGUACCUAAUCAGAAAGCCACGGCUAACUACGUG
rnacentral:rRNA from 1 species